GGGAAACCUGGCCAAUGUCAGUGUAACUGACAAUUCCACAUAAGCCUGUAAAAAAAACACAUGGGGAGAGAACUACCAGUAGCUACCGUACAUGUACCAUACAUCUCUGCAUCCAUUUUUGCAACAGCAAAUCUCUUCGUCAUCUUAAUCAUAAUCAUCAUCCCGUGAUGAAAAGCAUUCUGUUGGGGGUAACUGCUACUACUAGUUGAAAUGGGCAUCAACUGAUAUUCACUUUGUAUCAUGUCGAAUAUGAUUAAAACCAAGGUGACGAAGAGACUACAAUCACAAGUUAAUAGGCCUAAGAAAAAUAUGCCUUACCUGUUCGUAUUAUGGUUUUAUAUUGAAUCUAACAUUGAACAUGCUAUUUUACCAAGUCCACCACUUUUUCAAUAUUAACAGACAGUGGGGUUAAAUGUUCAAUUUGAACUGGCUACUGCAUUAAAAUGUAUGCAUUGACUCGGCCAGCAAUUGUCUCCCACGCCAACUGUCUUUACGCUGCUACAGUCAUGUUGCUUUUUUCUGGAAUAUGUGCUCUGAUUGACCAUAAUCACGUAAUAAAAUGUAUAUCUCAAGUGUGGUGAAGUAGGCCAACGUUUUUUGUCGCCGGGUGCCAUGAUGGAUCCUAGAGUGAAUCAAUGAAUUUGUCCUGUCCUACAUGAUGUAUAAAAAUGUGGAAUUAUUGAAAAUGGCAAAAACUGAAGUCAGUUUGAUCAUCAAACUUCAGUUUAGCUUGUGGUAGGCAAUGUGACUCAGUGGUGCCCAAUGUGUACAGACUAGACAAAGUCGCAGGAAAACGCUACAAAACCCUGAAAGGCAUAAUAAGAUGGGGUAAGCCAUGUUGAAAUCUGUUUCAUAUAAAAGGUCUUCUUCUAUACAUAAUAUACAUAUUUCAUGGCAUGAUUACUGACCUUAUUCACCUUCAGGACUGCGUUGACCAGCUGAAUGUGAUGUGGGCUGGGUAAAAAAAAAACUCUCUCCCAGUUUGGCUGAAACAAAGGAAAUCACAUCAAAUUGUGCUUCACACUGGGUCAAUAUGAGUUUCACUUUAUUGCAGUGGUAUAUUGUCUCCGUUCAAAACUGAGACAAAAUGUAUGUUUGGUGCAUUUUUCAGGUUCUUACCAUUCAGUUUACACACACGGACACCCAUUUUUAUCCCCAACAUCACUACGCUCUCAAGGAAAGCAACCUAGAAAAACAUGAAAUGAGGGUCAGUCUGCAAAGACCCUUGCCGCUUUGGAACCCUGCCUUCUUCACUGCACUGUUACAAUGUCAUCUUACAAGGUUAAGAUGUGCAACUGACCCCCUAAAAAUGCCAGUGGCAUGGCAAAGACAUCCCAAAUUCCGGAUAAGAGACUCUGGAAACGAUACAAGAUACGGAUCAUCUCAAGCACUGACAACUACAAGACAGCCAGAAAAAGAGCCAUGAAAGCCACUGAAAGCUCCAAUGUGGAAAGUGAGGAGGAAGAGAAAAGGCGGAAGAGAUCUGUCCCUUCUAGGUACAGGACAGUUAGUGAAAACAACACACACAUUGACAGCCAGGCACAGACUACAGUAAAUGCAGAUCUCUAUGAAAAAAUUGCAGAGUCUGAAAAGCGGGUCCUAAUGGCUAUUCAUAGAAUGCAGGCAGACAUAGCCAAUUCUAUCGAACGCCUGGUCCAGGCUGUUCAAAACAAUCAUCCUGGUCCCCAGGGGCAUCCAUGACCAUCCAGCCACAUGAGGCCAUUGAGAGACCCUGCAGAACAGUACAGGAGCUGUCAGAACUCCAACUGAAAUUAGAGAGCCUCCAACAACAAAAAAUCAUGACCAAGUUUUUGAAACUGAUGGGAGGUAGCAGCAUUGGGGACGCUGUCCGAAGAAUACUUCGGAAAGUUGCAACAAACGAGACAUGGUCCAACUACAGCCUGAAAGGGCGAAAGGGAAAACUGCCCUUCAUGGGGACAACCCUUUACAAAAUUGUUUUACGAGCUUGUGAUGAGCAGUUCCCAAGGGUGAGCGAAAAGGAGAUCGAGGCAUGGAUAGGAGAUACCCUCAAGCAUGCACCUCACCGUGCCAAGGUGGUCGGUCCCAAUAACUGCACCAGAAGAAGAAUCUGGGGCACAAGAAGAAUCUGAAUUGGAAGCCAACGCCGACACGCUGCCCGCUCCGCUGUAGUGGACACGCAGCCAAACUCUCUGACUGUCCUAUC